AAUGAACGUUGGCGGCGUGGAUUAGGCAUGCAAGUCGAGCGGAAAGGCCCGCAAGGGCACUCGAGCGGCGUAAGGGACAGUAAUGUGUAGGUAACGUACCCCUGGGUCUAGGAUAGCUGCGGGGAACUGCAAUUAAUACUAGAUAACGUCUCCGGACCAAAGGUGUGAUUCCACCUGGGGAGCGGCCUACAUCCUAUUAGCUAGUUGGCGAGGUAAUGGCUCACCAAGGCGAAGAUGGGUAGCAGGUGUGAGAGCACGACCUGCGUCACUGGGACUGAGACACUGCCCAGACACCUACGGGUGGCUGCAGUCGAGAAUCUUCGGCAAUGGGCGAAAGCCUGACCGAGCGACGCCGCGUGUGGGAUGAAGGCCU
rnacentral:rRNA from 1 species